CCAACCCGGAUACCCCGGAAAGGUCACUCCACCCGGGCUCUGUCUACGUGGCCCAGCGAAGCAUAAGGCUCUGCCUGUGAUGCACAGUCCUUUUCACAGCGUUGCAGAGAAAGCUGGGCCCUGAAUCUGAGCCUGCAUAUUUCUACAGCUUCUCAGAGUCCUGUGGACAAUGACUGAGGUGGCAAACCAUGCAGGAAACAUCC